rnacentral:rRNA from 1 species
GUCCGGAUGAGUUGUGGGUAGGGGUGAAAGGCCAAUCAAACUGGGCGAUAGCUUGUUCUCUCCGAAACAUAUUUAGGUAUGGCGUUAUGAUAGCUUGCCGGGGGUAGAGCACUGGAUGGACUAGGGGGCAUACCCGCUUACCAAACCCAACCAAACUUCGAAUACCGGCUAAGUAUUUCAUAGCAGACAGCCCGCGGGUGAUAAGAUCCGUGGACGAAAGGGAAACAACCCGGACCAUCGACUAAGUGUCCCAAAGUAUGUGCUAAGUGGGAAAGGAUGUGGGAUUGCUUAGACAGCCAGGAGGUUAGCUUAGAAGCAGCUACCCUUUAAAGAAAGCGUAAUAGCUCACUGGUCAAGCGAUCCCGCGCCAAAAAUGAUCGGGACUAAGCACGUCACCGAAGUCGUGGAUUCAUAAUUUUUAAUUAUGAGUGGUAGGAGAGCGUUCCGUAGGCCUGGGAAGGCGGGUGGUGAUGCCCGCUGGAGGUAUCGGAAAUGAGAAUGCUGGCAUGAGUAUGCGAAAAUGCAGGUGAAAAACCUGCACACCGUAAGUCUAAGGUUUCCUGGGUAAAGCUAAUCUUCCCAGGGUUAGUCGGGUCCUAAGGCGAGGCCGAGAGGCGUAGUCGAUGGCAAUCGGGUUAAUAAUCCCGAACCGCAAAUAACGCGUUAUUACCGAUGGGGUGACGCAUGGAGCAGAAUUUAGCCACUGAUGGAUGUGGCGGAUUGCGCGUAAGAUGUACAGGGGCAAAUCCCCUGUACGCAUAUCUGAGACGCAGGACCUUUUGAGGGCUUCGGCCCAAAGAAGAGUAAUUCCGGUCUGUGCCAGGAAAAACCUCUAAGGGAGUUUUAUUUGUGCCCGUACCGUAAACCGACACAGGUAGACGAGGCGAAUAGCCUAAGGUGCUCGAGACAACUCGGGAGAAGGAACUCGGCAAAUUAACCCCGUAACUUCGGGAUAAGGGGAGCCUCCAUUUGUUAGUGUGAACAGCACAAAGCAUAAGGAGGCCGCAGAGAAAUGGCAGAAGCGACUGUUUACCAAAAACACAGGGCUAUGCAAACCCGUAAGGGAAAGUAUAUAGUCUGACACGUGCCCGGUGCUGGAAGGUUAACAGGAGAUGUCAGCGCAAGCGAAGCAUUGAAUCGAAGCCCCAGUAAACGGCGGCCGUAACGAUAACGGUCCUAAGGUAGCGAAAUUCCUUGUCGGGUAAGUUCCGACCUGCACGAAUCGUGUAACGACUUCUGCACUGUCUCCUCCCGGGACUCGGCGAAAUUGCAGUGUCGGUGAAGAUGCCGACAACCCGCACCUGGACGGAAAGACCCCAUGAACCUUCACUGUAUUUUGACAUUGGUUUUAGGCUUGACAUGUGUAGGAUAGGUGGGAGGCUU